GAACUAGCAGUAGCCCACACCUUUUCAAAUGAGCAAGAAACAGAGAAGCAAAUGCCCCAGUAGAUUUCACCUCUGCGCCCCUUAGUAGAUUCACUUUCUCCCUCUGCCAUGGACCCUUGCUCGAUGCUUGUGCUCAUCGGCUCCCUAUUUCUGUCUGAUCGGAGAGAGCUUCUCCGUUACGAUUUCAGUGGUUCUGGAGUGAAACUCAAACCGAGAAUGCAAAACGUCGUCGCCUACUCCAGCGCCUCAGCUCGCAUCGGAACCUCUGCAAUGUGAUCAUCGCAGCCUCCAACGGAAUUUGUGUGUGGACUCGUCUCCAUAGUUUGGUACGAUCACGGAGAGAAUUGGUAAUUUCUUUCCGAUUGGCACCUCUCUCUUUUCUGCUCUUGAUCGAGCUACUGUCUCUCAUGGAAUCUCUUUCCUUGGUUGUUAUAUCCAGUUUUCAUCCGUCAAUUUGAAAGUAUAGUUGAAUUGGUUGAAUUUUGAAGAAGAAGAAUUUGUGCUAUUUUCAAGAAGGAUUGAUGGCAUUUUGCAGAAAUAGAAGAAUUAGAUGUAUAUAUUUGAAGAAGAAGAAGAAUUUAUUGAUUGUUGAAAGAAGAAGUGAAUCAUUUUUUGAAGAAGAAAAUUAUUGGAUUUUGAACGAGUAGAAGAAUUAGUUGUAAAUGUUUGUCGAAGAGUUGAAUUUUUGAAGCUGAUGAAUUGGUUGAAUUUUUUUGAUGAAGUAGUUGAAUUAGUUGUAUAUAGUUUGAACAAGAAGAAUUGAAUGAUUUGAAGAAGAAGAAUCGGUUGAAUUUUGAAGAAGUGGAUGAAUUAGUUGUACAUAGUUUGAAGAAGAGGAAUUGAAUGAUUUGAAGAAGAAGAAUUAUGUGAUUGGCAGAGAAGAAGAUUUAGUUGAAUAUUGCAGCUUUUCGUUUCUUGUUUUUGGACGGGAUAGUUCUGGAUAUGAUUUUGGUAUUGGUUAUGGUUUGAGGAUUUAUGGAGGUGGAGCAGGUGACAAGAUUUUAUGCACUGGUAAUUGCUGCAACUAUUAUCCUGGUGUUUGGUGUUGGUAGUGCUGUGGGCAUCUCAUCCAAGAUGGGACUGCUGUGGUUGCUUUGCAAGAAUGUUGAAUGUUCAGACUACAAGAAAGAAGGGUUGCUAGACAGACAUCAAUUAUUUGGCAUUGAGUUGCUCAGAACAUGGAGCUUUAGGAGAACUCAAAUUCAUAUAUCUUCUGCUUCAUAAGUUUUCAGUAGUCGAAGCAUAAGAAGACUAGGUAGCCAAAGGAAGAGAAUGUUACUCUUGGUCCUGCAGUCAGAGACGGAGAACAUGUUUUUGGUGUCGCACAUGUUUUCGCCUCUUUUGAUGACACAUUCAUUCAUGUGACUGAUCUCUCUGGAAGGUCGUAUCACUGGU